GAUGAACGCUGGCGGCGUGCCUAAUACAUGCAAGUCGAGCGAACGGACGAGAAGCUUGCUUUUCUGAUGUUAGCGGCGGACGGGUGAGUAACACGUGGAUAACCUACCUAUAAGACUGGGAUAACUUCGGGAAACCGGAGCUAAUACCGGAUAAUAUUUUGAACCGCAUGGUUCAAAAGUGAAAGACGGUCUUGCUGUCACUUAUAGAUGGAUCCGCGCUGCAUUAGCUAGUUGGUAAGGUAACGGCUUACCAAGGCAACGAUGCAUAGCCGACCUGAGAGGGUGAUCGGCCACACUGGAACUGAGACACGGUCCAGACUCCUACGGGAGGCAGCAGUAGGGAAUCUUCCGCAAUGGGCGAAAGCCUGACGGAGCAACGCCGCGUGAGUGAUGAAGGUCUUCGAAUCGUAAAACUCUGUUAUUAGGGAAGAACAUAUGUGUAAGUAACUGUGCACAUCCUGACGGUACCUAAUCAGAAAGCCACGGCUAACUACGUG
rnacentral:rRNA from 1 species